GAUGAACGCUGGCGGCGUGCCUAAUACAUGCAAGUCGAGCGAACAGACGAGGAGCUUGCUCCUCUGACGUUAGCGGCGGACGGGUGAGUAACACGUGGAUAACCUACCUAUAAGACUGGGAUAACUUCGGGAAACCGGAGCUAAUACCGGAUAAUAUAUUGAACCGCAUGGUUCAAUAGUGAAAGACGGUUUUGCUGUCACUUAUAGAUGGAUCCGCGCCGCAUUAGCUAGUUGUUAAGGUAACGGCUUACCAAGGCAACGAUGCGUAGCCGAACUGAGAGGGUGAUCGGCCACACUGGAACUGAGACACGGUCCAGACUCCUACGGGAGGCAGCAGUAGGGAAUCUUCCGCAAUGGGCGAAAGCCUGACGGAGCAACGCCGCGUGAGUGAUGAAGGUCUUCGGAUCGUAAAACUCUGUUAUUAGGGAAGAACAAAUGUGUAAGUAACUAUGCACGUCUUGACGGUACCUAAUCAGAAAGCCACGGCUAACUACGUG
rnacentral:rRNA from 1 species